AGACACGGCCCAGACUCCUACGGGAGGCAGCAGUGGGGAAUAUUGCGCAAUGGGCGAAAGCCUGACGCAGCGACGCCGCGUGAGGGAUGACGGCCUUCGGGUUGUAAACCUCUUUCAGUAGGGACGAAGCGCAAGUGACGGUACCUACAGAAGAAGCACCGGCCAACUACGUGCCAGCAGCCGCGGUAAUACGUAGGGUGCAAGCGUUGUCCGGAAUUAUUGGGCGUAAAGAGCUCGUAGGCGGUCUGUCGCGUCGGCUGUGAAAACCCGAGGCUCAACCUCGGGCCUGCAGUCGAUACGGGCAGACUGGAGUACUGCAGGGGAGACUGGAAUUCCUGGUGUAGCGGCGAAAUGCGCAGAUAUCAGGAGGAACACCGGUGGCGAAGGCGGGUCUCUGGGCAGUUACUGACGCUGAGGAGCGAAAGCGUGGGGAGCGAACAGGAUUAGAUACCCUGGUAGUCCACGCCGUAAACGUUGGGCGCUAGGUGUGGGGGCCAUUCCACGGUCUCCGUGCCGCAGCUAACGCAUUAAGCGCCCCGCCUGGGGAGUACGG
rnacentral:rRNA from 1 species